rnacentral:rRNA from 1 species
UACGAAGGGGGCUAGCGUUGCUCGGAAUCACUGGGCGUAAAGCGCACGUAGGCGGAUUGUUAAGUCAGGGGUGAAAUCCUGGAGCUCAACUCCAGAACUGCCUUUGAUACUGGCGAUCUCGAGUCCGGGAGAGGUGAGUGGAACUGCGAGUGUAGAGGUGAAAUGCGCAGAUAUCAGGAGGAACACCAAUGGCGAAGGCAGCCCCCUGGGUCAAAACUGACACUCAUGCACGAAAGCGUGGGGAGCAAACAGG